GCAAUUAUUGCAGGAGAGAUGUUCUUCUGUGAACACGCCGAAGGAGCAACGACCCCGGAAACUCUCAGGCAAAAGGACUGUAAUAAUUUU
rfam:Acinetobacter sp. ANC 3994 genomic scaffold acLZV-supercont1.12, whole genome shotgun sequence.